rnacentral:rRNA from 1 species
UACGGGGGGGGCAAGCGUUGUUCGGAAUUACUGGGCGUAAGGGGCGCGUAGGCGGCCUUCUAAGUCGAACGUGAAAUCCCCGGGCUCAACCCGGGAACUGCGUCCGAUACUGGAAGGCUUGAAUCCGGGAGAGGGAUGCGGAAUUCCAGGUGUAGCGGUGAAAUGCGUAGAUAUCUGGAGGAACACCGGUGGCGAAGGCGGCAUCCUGGACCGGCAUUGACGCUGAGGCGCGAAAGCCAGGGGAGCAAACGGG